GUUUCUAUGUGGAUAGUGUUCAGCACUAAGGACAGGAAUGUUCCUAUGUGGAUAGUGUUCAGCACCAAAGACAGGGAUAUUUCUAU
rnacentral:pre_miRNA from 1 species